UACGUAGGGUGCAGGCGUUAAUCGGAAUUACUGGGCGUAAAGCGUGCGCAGGCGGUCUGCUAGGAGAGAUGUGAAAUCCCCGGGCUUAACCUGGGAACUGCGUUCCUAACUGGCAGGCUAGAGUGUGGCAGAGGGGGGUGGAAUUCCACGUGUAGCAGUGAAAUGCGUAGAGAUGUGGAGGAACACCGAUGGCGAAGGCAGCCCCCUGGGCUAACACUGACGCUCAUGCACGAAAGCGUGGGGAGCAAACAGG
rnacentral:rRNA from 1 species